UGUCUAUUACCAUUCUUGGUAGUGACCGGUGGCGGCAAGUGUGAUGGUGCCGUUGAGUUGGUGGGCCAGCUCAAGGCCGGCCUGAGGGUGAGCCGUGAGGCCUGACAGCUGUUAGUGUUGCCUGUGACACGAUGCAGGCUAGUCGGGCGGGAGGAUGGUGGCGCAAUUCAGGCACUGGCUGUGGCCACACGUAGUAUUCAUAUUGGCGGUGCAUGUUUCGGAGUGUGCUUUUAAUAUAUUCAGAUAUCCUCUCAGUAGCAUAGAAAGGAAAUAUGGAAGCCUCCCAGAAAGUGAGCGCCUCAAGCUUAAGGAAGAUACGAGGGAUAUGUUUUACUUCGGCUACGACAACUACAUGAAGUAUGCCUAUCCAGAGGACGAGCUCAACCCUAUUCUUUGCCGCGGCCGAGGACCAGAUCGUGAUGACCCGUCCAACAUCAACAUCAAUGACAUCCUUGGUGACUAUUCCCUUACUCUCAUUGAUGCUCUGGACACCUUAGCCAUCCUUGGUGAUGUGGGAGAGUUUCGACGUGCUGUGCAACUUGUCAUAGAAAAUGUCAACUUUGACAAAAACUCAACAGUGCAGGUGUUUGAAGCUAAUAUUAGACUAUUGGGUGCUUUAUUGUCUGCUCACUUACUCAUAGAGGACAAGAGUCAGCCAUUUGGGAACCUAGAACCAGAGUGGUACAAUGGAGAACUUUUGGAAAUGGCAUCUGAUUUGGCCUCUCGCUUCAUGCCAGCCUUUGAGAGCUCCAAGACUGGCCUCCCACACCCAAGGGUAAAUUUGCGCAGUGGGGUGCCAGAGGGGAGUCGCACAGACACUUGCACAGCUGGAGCUGGCUCCCUGCUGGUUGAGUUUGGGGUUCUGAGUCGCUUGAUUGGAGACCCUGUAUACGAGAUGUCAGCCAGAAGAGCCAACAGAGUACUGUGGAGACUCAGGAAUGAAAAUACAGGUUUAUUAGGGAAUGUGGUGGAUGUGGACACAGGUAAAUGGGUUGGGGAGCUGAGUGGUGUUGGAGCCGGUCUGGACAGCUUCUAUGAAUACCUCCUGAAGGCCUAUAUAUUGUUUGGUCAUCCAGAGGACUACUAUAUGUUUAAUGAAACUUACAGCCUCAUCAAACAUUAUAUGAGAAGGGGGCGUCCUGAAUGUAAUUCUGGUGUUGGAGAUCAUCCACUCUAUGUUAAUGUGGACAUGAAAAAUGGAGGUACACACACUACUUGGAUAGACUCCCUCCAAGCUGCAUUUGCUGGGAUUCAAGUCUUAGCUGGUGACAUGGAAGAGGCUAUCUGUACACAUGCUCUUUAUUAUACCAUCUGGAAAAAAUAUGGAGUGUUGCCAGAGAGAUUCAAUUGGCAAAGGAUCUCUCCAGAUGUGAUGUUUUAUCCACUGAGACCAGAAUUUGUGGAGUCAACAUAUCUACUGUAUCAGGCAACCAAGAAUCCAUUUUACUUGCAUGUUGGACGGGACAUCCUCACUUCCCUCAACAACUUGACUCGGGCACGUUGUGGCCAUGCUACAGUCCACUCUGUCCUGGAUAUGACUUUGGAGGAUCGUAUGGAAUCAUUCUUCCUUUCAGAGACCUGCAAGUACUUAUAUUUGUUGUUUGAUGCAGAUAACCCCAUCAAUCUGAACUCUGGCCGCUAUAUGUUCACCACAGAGGGCCAUGUGUUACCAUUGGCACCUUGGUUACGCCGGCACACCUGGGAGGAUGGCCUCUUCCAGGACGACAGUCCCCCACCUUACACCAACUUCUCUUUUGCCAGUUGUGCAGCCAUCAAUGAAGAAAGGAUACAUAGGUUGCCCCUGAAAAGCCAGUACCUGGAGCAGAUAUCUUUUUCUCUUGGAGUGGAGUUAUGAUGGCUGGCUUAAUAGUCACUUGUGCCUUGUAAAUAGGGACCUCAUCGCCCUGUUAUAGGAUUGCUUCCAAAACAUAUAUAUAUAUAUAUAUAUAUAUAUAUAUAUAUAUAUAUAUAUAUAUAUAUAUAUAUAUAUAUAUAUAUAUAUAUAUAUAUAUAUAUAUAUAUAUAUAUAUAUAUAUAUAUAUAUAUAUAUAUAUAUAUAUAUAUAAUGUGUGUGUGUGUGUGUGUGUGUGUGUGUGUGUGUGUGUGUGUGUCGGGUAACACAGUCAUCUUCAGUGACACUAAAAGUGAGAUGUAAAUAAUUGUUAUACUGUAAUUUAUAGUUCUUAAUGCCUUAAGAUAUGAAAUUUGUGAUAUGAAUCAUCAUUUUAAACAUACUGUAUUGAAAUAAUCUGUUCACUCACUGAUAUAACAGGCUUUGUUUUGGUACCUAUUUCUUUGUUGGAAGAAUAAAGGCUGUGAAGUAUAUCAACAUUCCUGCAAGAGGGACUAAGGAGCAUACUUGUAAAUAGGUGUAUCUUAUAUGCUGGCAUAUGUGCCAAGGCUAUAAGCAUCCUUCCACUCUUUAUUUUCUGAUUUUAGGGUCAAAACUUAUGUAUGGAAAACCUACCUCAAAAUAUAUAAAUGAACAAUAAUAAUAAUAAUAAUAAUAAUAAUAACAAUAAAGAAAUAAAAUAAUUACUGUCCCACAAGGGUAAAUGGGAGAUGAUCACAACAUCUUUAUUCACAUUAUACAGACUUUCAACCUAAAUAAAAUAUUUCCAUUACAUGCCAAUAUAAUAAGACAUCUUGUGUAUGUUUCAUGUGGUUUUAAACAACUGAAGUUAUGCAUGUAAAACCAUAGAAAGCAACACUUCCUACAAAACAUUUAUUUUUUAUUAUGAUUUUGAUUUUGAUUGUGUAAGAUUUUGCAAGAUAGUUAACUUUUGUUUUUUUUUAUCUAUUCUAUUACCAUGUUAAUAUAAUAAAUCUAUGUAGAGAUUAACAUAGCAUCAUUUAGUUAUGUGACUUUCUUAAUCUGUUAUGUUAUGCUUGCACACAAAUUACACUCAAAGUAGAUCUGGAGAACAAUUACUAAAAAUGGACAACUUUGAAGAAAAACGGACAUCUGAAAUUGAAGCACAGAAGAAUUCCUUUAUUGAGUCAAAACUUCAAUACAAGGCCAUGUGCAAAACACAAAAAUGUUAUGUUUAUAUAUUCAUAAACUUUAGAUGUGAUUUGUGAAUAAUUAAAUAAUAGUGCUUACUAUGAUUUUACCAAGCAUACCCUCAAAUGUUCUAUAAAAGUAGAUUAGCAUGUAAGUGUCUUGAGUUCCAAAUGCAAAAAAAAAAUCCACUAUUUGAAUGAAUAGAAAUGUUUUAUAUUUGGCAUUAUAAAGAUUUGCCAAUUUUGUUUAACAUGUUGGGUUAUCAUAAUAAAACAUUGUGCAUUGUAUUAAUCCCUAGUAUGUAACUGAAAAUUUUAUUCCUAUUGCUAAUGAUAACAAAGUAUAUCUUAGUGUGUGUAGCAUGUUGAAUUACCUGGUGAUUACUGAUUCUAUAUGAUAUUGAAGAUACCAACAUAUGUAUUACCAAAAAUAAUCAAGCUAUAGUUUACUGACAGUACUAGCUCACUGAAUGUACAUGUGAUGUUUAAAAAAAUUUUUUAGGAGACAUUUUAUGUGUUGGAUAACCACUAUGAAAUUGCAUAAAUCUUUUCCUUUGAAGUUACUCAAUUAGUUGGUGGCAUCACUAAUCUAACUCAGAACAGCAGCAUCUGAAUCCUCAUUACAAGUGUGGAAAUCAUGAUUAUAAAUUCAGUGGAAAUUAAUCAGAAUUGUUGCAGUAUGAAGGACAACUAGAAACAAUCCUUUCUUUUUUCCUGACAAAUGGCAGUUAAAUUCCUAAGGCAAGAACACUUUACAAUGCAGUUAUUGAUCUAAGUGUUUUUUAUUGUCAAUGAUGAUACUUGAGUGUCAUUGAAGAAGAGGGGAUAGUUGUCUGGAAGGUUGUGUGAAGCUGAUAGGUGGAGGAAUUGAAUUUUUGAGACAUUGAACAAUAAUAAGUUUGCUCUGCCACAAUCAGAAAUUUUCAAGAGAUCGGAACUCAGGUGUUCUAUGACUUCCCUACAUGAACUGUUAAACUUCCUGAAGCACUGGAUGUCUACAAAAAGAUGUGGAAAAGUGCAGGGUGGUAUCAUCAGCGUAGGAGUAGAUAGGACAAGAAAUUUAGUUUAGAAGAUAAUUGAUGAAUAAUAGAAAAAGAGUGGGUGACAGGACAGAACCCUGAGGAACACCACUGUUAUUAGUUUUUGGAGAAGAACAGUGACCGUCUACAACAGCAGCAAUAGAAUGGUCAGAAAGGAAAUUUGAGAUAAAGUUACAGAGAGAAGGAUAGAAGCCAUAGGAGGAUAGUUUGGAAAUCAAAGCUUUGUGUCAGACUCUAUCAAAAGCUUUUGAUAUGUCUAAGGCAACAGCAAAAGUUUCACCAAAAUUUCUAAAAGAGGAUGACCAAGACUCAGUAAGGAAAGCCAGAUCACCAGUAGAGCAGCCUUGAUGGAAUCCAUACUGGCAAUCAGAUAGAAGGUUGUGAAGUGAUAGAUGUUUAAGAAUCUUCCUGUUGAGGUUAGAUUCAAAAUAGAUAUUUAAGAAUCUUCCUGUUGAGGAUAGAUUAAAAAAAAAUUUAGAUAGGCAGGAAAUUAAAGCUAUAGGAUGGUAGUCUGAAGGAUUAGAACAGCAAAAAGAAAAGGUAGAUAUUGAUAGAGUUGAAAGAGUUUUGACUAGGCAAGGUGCAAGUAUAGAGGCACAGUUUCAGAUCGGAACUCAGGUGUUCUAUGACUUCCCUACAUGAACUGUUUACUUCCUGAAGGACUGGAUGUCUACAAAAAGAUGUGGAAAAGUGCAGGGUGGUAUCAUCAGCGUAGGAGUAGAUAGGACAAGAAAUUUAGUUUAGAAGAUAAUUGAUGAAUAAUAGGAAAAGAGUGGGUGACAGGACAGAACCCUGAGGAACACCACUGUUACUAGUUUUUGGAGAAGAACAGUGACCGUCUACAACAGCAGCAAUAGAAUGGUCAGAAAGGAAAUUUGAGAUAAAGUUACAGAGAGAAGGAUAGAAGCCAUAGGAGGAUAGUUUGGAAAUCAAAGCUUUGUGUCAGACUCUAUCAAAAGCUUUUGAUAUGUCUAAGGCAACAGCAAAAGUUUCACCAAAAUUUCUAAAAGAGGAUGACCAAGACUCAGUAAGGAAAGCCAGAUCACCAGUAGAGCAGCCUUGAUGGAACCCAUACUGGCAAUCAGAUAGAAGGUUGUGAAGUGAUAGAUGUUUAAGAAUCUUCCUGUUGAGGUUAGAUUCAAAAUAGAUAUUUAAGAAUCUUCCUGUUGAGGAUAGAUUAAAAAAAAAUUUAGAUAGGCAGGAAAUUAAAGCUAUAGGAUGGUAGUCUGAAGGAUUAGAACAGCAAAAAGAAAAGGUAGAUAUUGAUAGAGAGUUGAAAGAGUUUUGACUAGGCAAGGUGCAAGUAUAGAGGCACAGUUUCAGAUCGGAACUCAGGUGUUCUAUGACUUCCCUACAUGAACUGUUUACUUCCUGAAGGACUGGAUGUCUACAAAAAGAUGUGGAAAAGUGCAGGGUGGUAUCAUCAGCGUAGGAGUAGAUAGGACAAGAAAUUUAGUUUAGAAGAUAAUUGAUGAAUAAUAGGAAAAGAGUGGGUGACAGGACAGAACCCUGAGGAACACCACUGUUAUUAGUUUUUGGAGAAGAACAGUGACCGUCUACAACAGCAGCAAUAGAAUGGUAAAGGAAAUUUGAGAUAAAGUUACAGAGAGAAGGAUAGAAGCCAUAGGAGGAUAGUUUGGAAAUCAAAGCUUUGUGUCAGACUCUAUCAAAAGCUUUUGAUAUGUCUAAGGCAGCAGCAAAAGUUUCACCAAAAUUUCUAAAAGAGGAUGACCAAGACUCAGUAAGGAAAGCCAGAUCACCAGUAGAGCAGCCUUGAUGGAACCCAUACUGGCAAUCAGAUAGAAGGUUGUGAAGUGAUAGAUGUUUAAGAAUCUUCCUGUUGAGGUUAGAUUCAAAAUAGAUAUUUAAGAAUCUUCCUGUUGAGGAUAGAUUAAAAAAAUUUAGAUAGGCAGGAAAUUAAAGCUAUAGGAUGGUAGUCUGAAGGAUUAGAAGAGCAGUAGAUGCAAGGAGGAGGCAGUAGACACCUGCCGAAACGAUAAUUACUCCCAGUGAGGUCUAAAGCACUGUUCAUGGGGUGCUGUGAACUUAUCAUUAAACCCAGCUGUGACCUCACUGAACGUUUCCCUUUGUGUCUCACAACACAAGGGGGCAGUCACAGCCUGCCCUCUAAAGACAACUCUCUUCCUCCACACAAAACUACAAGCAUCUAAUAACACACACACCCUUCACUCAAAAAUUUUAAUAUCAUGGCGAAUCCUACACCAGCCUCGGAGUCUCCAUCUGGGGAGGGGACCAUAAAUGUCCCCAGGUCGGACUGCCUUUCUGUCGACGACUCUAAGUGUCUUGACACCCCCCUCAACUUUUUCUUCAUUAACUUCUGCAACAUUCGCGGUCUAAGAUCUAAUUUUCAAUCUGUAGAACACCACCUCUCCUCUUCUAAACCUCAUCUUCUUUUCCUCACUGAAACUCAGGUGUCUGAGGCAACUGACAGUAGCCCCUUUUCUGUUCCCUCCUACUUUCUCUAUCCUCAUUUUCGAUCCAAAGCUGGAUGCUGCGUUUAUGUGCGCAAUGACUUAACCUGCUCUCGUGCCCACGCUCUUGAAUCUUCCAAGUUUUCCACCAUCUGGCUACGACUACAGAGUCAUUCUCAUACUAAAUUUAUCUGUGCUGUAUACCUCUCUCCUAACUCCUCUGACUAUAAGAAAUUCUUUGACUACUUAACUUCCAAAGUGGAGCACAUUCUGACCCUCUUCCCUCUUGCAGAGAUCUCCAUUCUUGGAGAUUUCAAUGUUCACCACCAGCUUUGGCUUUCCUCUCCCUUCACUGACCAUCCUGGUGAACUAGCCUACAACUUUGCUAUCCUCCAUGACCUAGAGCAAUUGGUGCAACACCCUACUCGUAUUCCUGACCGUCUUGGAGAUACGCCCAACAUUCUUGACCUUUUCCUGACCUCUAAUCCUUCUGCUUAUGCUGUCACCCUUUCUUCUCCGUUGGGCUCCUCCGAUCACAAUCUCAUAUCUGUAUCUUGUCCUAUCACUCCAAUCCCUCCUCAGGAUCCCCCUAAGCGAAGGUGCCUCUGGCGUUUUGCCUCUGCUAGUUGGGGGAACCUGAGGAGGUAUUUUGCUGAUUUUCCUUGGAAUGACUACUGCUUCCGUGUCAGAGACCAAUCUUUGUGUGCUGAGCGCAUAACAGAGGUGAUAGUGUCUGGCAUGGAGGAGUACAUUCCUCACUCUUUUUCUCAUCCUAAACCUUCUAAACCUUGGUUUAACACAGCUUGUUCUCAUGCUAUACAUGAUAGAGGUGGCCCACAAAAGGUACUUAAGCCUUCCAUCACCAGAAUCUCAUGCACUUUAUAUUUCUGCCCGGGACCAUGCCAAGUCUGUUCUCCAACUAGCCAAAAACUCCUUCAUUAACAGAAAAUGUCAAAGCCUUUCAAGAUCUAACUCCCCUUGUGAUUUCUGGCAUCUAGCCAAAAAUAUCUCCAAUAACUUUGCUUCUUCUUCUUUCCCUCCUCUACUUCAACCAGAUGGUGCCACUGCUAUCACAUCUAUUUCUAAAGCUGAACUCUUUACUCAAACCUUUGCUAAAAACUCUACCUUGGAUGAUUCUGGGCUUGUUCCUCCCUCUCCUCCACCCUCUGACUACUUCAUGCCACCUAUUAAAAUUCUUCGCAAUGAUGUUUUCCAUGCCCUCGCUGGCCUAAACCCUCGGAAGGCUUAUGGAACUGAUGGGGUCCCUCCUAUUGUUCUCCGAAAUUGUGCUUCCGUGCUUGCACCUUGCCUAGUCAAACUCUUUCAGCUCUGUUUGUCAACAUCUACCUUUCCUUCUUGCUGGAAGUUUGCCUACAUUCAACCUGUUCCUAAAAAGGGUGACCACUCUAAUCACUCAAACUACUGUCCUAUUGCUUUAAUUUCCUGCUUAUCUAAAGUUUUUGAAUCUAUCCUCAACAGGAAGAUUCUUAAACAUCUAUCACUUCACAACCUUCUAUCUGAUCGCCAGUAUGGGUUCCAUCAAGGCCGCUCUACUGGUGAUCUUCUGGCUUUCCUUACUGAGUCUUGGUCAUCCUCUUUUAGAGAUUUUGGUGAAACUUUUGCUGUUGCCUUGGACAUAUCAAAAGCCUUUGAUAGAGUCUGGCACAAAGCUUUGAUUUCUAAACUACCCUUCUACGGUUUCUAUCCUUCUCUCUGUAACUUCAUCUCAAGUUUCCUUUCUGACCGUUCUAUUGCUGCUGUGGUAGACGGUCACUGUUAUUCUCCUAAAUCUAUUAACAGUGGUGUUCCUCAGGGUUCUGUCCUGUCACCCACUCUCUUCUUAUUAUUCAUUAAUGAUCUCCUAAACCAAACUUCUUGUCCUAUCCACUCCUACGCUGAUGAUACCACCCUGCACUUUUCCACAUCUUUUCAUAGACGUCCAACCCUUCAGGAGGUAAACAUUUCACGCAGGGAAGCCAUAGAACGCCUGACUUCUGAUCUUUCUAAAAUUUCUGAUUGGGGCAGAGCAAACUUGGUAUUGUUCAAUGCCUCAAAAACUCAAUUCCUCCAUCUAUCAACUCGACACAACCUUCCAGACAACUAUCCCCUCUUCUUCAAUGACACUCAACUGUCCCCCUCUUCUACACUGAACAUCCUCGGUCUGUCCUUUACUUAUAAUCUGAACUGGAAACUUCACAUCUCAUCUCUAGCUAAAACAGCUUCUAUGAAGUUAGGUGUUCUGAGGCGUCUCCGCCAGUUUUUCUCACCCUCCCAGCUGCUAACUCUGUACAAGGGCCUUAUCCGUCCAUGUAUGGAGUAUGCUUCACAUGUCUGGGGGGUUCCACUCAUACUGCUCUUCUAGACAGGGUGGAAUCAAAAGCUUUUCAUCUCAUCAACUCCUCUCCUCUAACUGACUGUCUUCAGCCUCUCUCUCACCACCGCAAUGUUGCAUAUCUAGCUGUCUUCUACCGCUAUUUUCAUGCUAACUGCUCUUCUGAUCUUGCUAACUGCAUGCCUCCCCUCCUUCCACGGCCUCGCUGCACAAGACUUUCUUCUUUCUCUCACCCCUAUUCUGUCCACCUCUCUAAUGCAAGAGUUAACCAGUAUUCUCAAUCAUUCAUCCCUUUCUCUGGUAAACUUUGGAACUCCCUGCCUGCUUCUGUAUUUCCACCUUCCUAUGACUUGGAUUCCUUCAAGAGGGAGGUUUCAAGACACUUAUCCACCAAUUUUUGACUACUGCUUUGACCCAUUUAUGGGACUGGCAUUUCAGUGGGCAUUUUUUUAUUAGAUUUUUGUUGCCCUUGGCCAGUAUCCUUCCUACAUAUAUAAAAAAAAAAAAAAGAAAAAGUAGAUAUUGAUAGACAGAGUUGAAAGUGUUUUGACUAGGCAAGGUGCAAGUAUAGAGGCACAGUUUCAGUGAACAAUAGGAGGUUCAUAAGCCUUAUGAGGGUUUAGGCCAGCAAAAGUAUGGAAAACAUUGUGAAGGAUCUUAAUGAGUAACAUGAAGUAGCUGGAGACUGGAGAGGGAGGAACAAGCCCUGAGUCAUCUAAGGCAGGGUUUUUAGCAAAGGUUUGAGUGAAGAAUUCAACUUUAGAAAUGGAUGAGAUGGCAGUGGUGUCAUUAGGAUGAAAUAAAGGAUGGAAAGAAGAAGCAAAGUCAUUGGUGAUGUUUUUGAUUAGGUGUCUCUAAAGUCAUGAGGGAAGUUAGAUCUUGAAAGAUUUUGACAUUUUCCAUUAAUGGAGAUUUUGGUUAAUUGGAGAACAGACUUGGCAUGAUUCCGGGCAGAAAUGUAAAGUGCACGAGAUUUCAGAUGAUGGAAGGCUCAAGUACCUUUUGCAGGCCACCUCUCUACCAUGUAUAGCAUGAGAACAGGCUGUGUUAAACCAAGCUUUUAAAGCUUGGUUUAGGUCUUAGUUUAGGUCAAGAGAAAGAGCGAGAAAUGUAUGCCUCCAUGCCAAACACUAUCACCUCUGUUAUGCGCUCAGCACACAGAGACAGGUCUCUGACAUGGAAGCAGAAGUCAUUCCAAGGAAAAUCAGCAUAAUACCUCCUUAGGUCCCCUCAAUUAGCAGAGGCAAAAUGCCAGAGGCACCUCUGCUUUAGGGGAUCUUGAGGAGGGAUUGGAGGGAUAGGACAAGACACAGAUAUAAGACUGUGAUUGGAGGAGCCCAACAGAGAAAGUAGUAACAGCAUAAACAGAAGGAUUAGAAUGUUGGGUGUAUCUCCAAGACAGUCAGGAAUACGAGUAGGUUGUUGCACCACUUGCUCUAGGUCAUGGAGGAUAGCAAAUUUAAAGGCUAGUUCACUAGGAUGGCCAGUGUAGGGAGAGGAAAGCCAAAGCUGGUGAACAUUGAAGUUUCCAAGAAUGGAGAUCUCCACAAAAGGGAAGAGAGUCAGAAUGUGCUCCACUCUGAAAGUUAAGUAGUCAAAGAAUUUGUUAUAGUCAGAGGAGUUAGGUGAGGUAUAUAGCACAAAUUAAUUUAGUUUGAAUGUGAUUCUGUAGUCAUAGCCAGAUGGUGUAAAACUCACAAGAUUCAAGGGUUUGGGCAUGAGAGCAGGUUAAGUCGUUGCACAUAUAGACACAACAUCCAGCUUUGGAUUGAAAAUGAGGAUAGAGAAAGUAGGAGGGAACAGAAGUGGGGCUGCUGAAAAGAAAAGGCUUGUUUGCUCAUGAAUGGGUUGCUGUGAGUGACCCAGAAGAGGAUGAAAGGGAAGUGAUGGUUAUGCAAACAGAGGGACUGUCAAAUAAGCAGUCUCAUUAAUAUCAGAAGGGAGAAGGAACAGAUGAGCAGCCUAACACCAAACUGCCUUGCAACAAACCCCAUAAGUUGCUGAUAGAACAGCCUGCAUCUACACCAUAAUCAAGAAAGCCACCAGAUUUACUGGUAAGAAUGUGGACAUCACUGCAGCAUCCAGGACUAAAUCAAUCAUCUGUAGUCAUUUAUGUACAGCCCACGGAUGGUAGGAACAUCAUUCUAAACCUUGUUCGUUUAACCACAACUUUGAACAAGUCUCCUCUAGGAAAAGAUUUCAUCCAAAGAUGUGAGCAGUGUCUGGGCACAGGCCAGGCUAUCAGACUGGAAAUAAUUAGGCAACCUGAAUAAACUGUCAGCCCUCUUGGAAGAAAUUACAAAUCUAGUACCAUGGAAGGUACAAUGUUAGGAAUCUAGGGGCCUAAAUCCUGGCUUUAUUUAUGGCAAGGUGGACCUACUAGAAAAGAACUACACCAGUGAGAAACUGGCAAAUGAUUUUCCUUCCUAAACCACUGUGGGGUAGCACUGAGGGAGGUUCUACUCCCACAAAGGGCAGAUGGUUCCAGAUUCUACUGCUUGGCAUUCCAUGGUUCUUGUCUACCAGGUAAGAUCCUCCUUAGUUGGUAGACAAGAGCCCUGGCAUGCCAAGUGGAAGAAUUUAGAACCAUCUGCCCUUGGUGGGAGUAGAAGAACCUCCAUCAGUGCUGCUCCCACCAAAGGUAGAUGGUUCCAGAUUCUACUGCUUUGGCAUUCCAUGGCACUUGAGUACCAAGUAAGAUUCUGCUUAGUUGGUAGACAAGAGCCCUGGCAUGCCAAGCAGGAGAAUUUAGAAUCAUCUGCCCUUGGUGGGAGUAGAAGAACCUCCAUCAGUGCUGCCCCAUAGAGGUUUAGGAAGGAAAAAUCAUUUACCAAUUCCGCUGUUAACACAAACUGCCAGCCCUGCGCUGCUAAAAUUGUUACCUGUUUGGUCACAGUGCAUAAUCGUGCAGACAGAAGAUAAGGUCCACAAACUGCAGUUUCAAAUCCUCUAAGGGCAGUAAAUGCUUCAGUCCACCUUUCUGUUAUUUCUGCUGGGAAAACUACUGCCUCAAACAGUGAAUCCUGCCCUGUCCUCCACAGAGUGAAGGAAAUCAGCAACAACUACCAACAACAAAAAUGAUGUGCAGGAAACUAACAAGCUGAGGGCUAUCAUCCCUUGUACUAUACUCCCCAACUCUAUUCCUGCCUCCAUCAACACUACAAACACCAAUCAAGUGCUUCAACAACAUACAACCAGGAUAACAGCAAGUAUAAUGCUGAAUAACUCCUAUGCUAUCUUCAGUGACAUUGCCAAUGACUCUGACAAGGACUUUUUCAUUAAGCAAACAUCUCAAAUUACAUCCCCACACCAAGACUUCCUAAACACUAUCAGAAACAACAACGUUCUACCCGCAACACCCCUGCACUCCAUCAAGCAGCAUCCACUCAAAGCACCAGUCUUCAUCCACCAAGCUGUUUCACCACCAUACAACACACCAACUCAAACGAGAGAGGACAACCCAGCUCCCCAGGCUUAUGCAGCAAAGGUGAAAGGACACAGACAUCAGGUACAUACCACUAAUACAAAUUUGAACAUUGCAAAACCCAGUGAUAUCAACUGGUUCUCCUUCCUACCCUCCUUAUUUCAUCUUCUCCAUAAAGGAUUCCAGCUUCACCAACAAGGUAACUCUGUCCUGCAGAUAAUCAGACACCUCUUACCUGCCAUUCUUUCUCUCUGUUAUCUUCAAACAUGGCCUCUCCCUCCUGUCAUACCAUUAUCUGGAAUGCCAGAUCACUUGUACACAAGCUCAGUGAUAUCAAAUUAUAUGCAAAGAAGCACCUUCCAUUCAUUAUCGGCAUUUUUUAAACCUAGCUGCAUCCUCACCUUGCUAUCUCAUUCAGAGGUUACAUCAUCUACACUCAUUCUACAGGGAUGAAAGGCCAAACAGGCAGGGGUGGGUUGGGUGGGGGGGCUUGCCAUUCUAGUACAUGACUCAGAGGCCUUUAUACCCAUUUCUCUAAAUAGAUUCCCUGGAAGAAUACUGGAAACACUUCCUUUUCGUGUUUCCCUGCCCAGAGGGCAGGCCACCAUUCUCAUUUUCUACAACACCUGUGCAGAAUUAAUUAGUGGAGAACAGACUCAUUACUCAGUUACCCCCACCCAGACUAGUGAUAGCAGACCUCAAUGCUCAACAUUCAUAUUGGCAACUUACCCUCUCACUCUUCUCACAACUCAUCUUGCUUGCCAUUCACUUUUCAAUGCAUUGUUUGCCUUACCAUCUUUCAUCCUUCUCACCUCUCUAGACUUAGCCAUGAGGGUUGACCUAGGAAAAUCUUAAGAACAACGCACCCAAGAUUAUUUUCAAUAUGGUGUGCUUUCAAGAAGUGUAAGUAGUAUAGCUACAUGUCUGUAAAGGUUUUACUGAUUGCUCGUUGAUAUUAAGGUUACAAUACAAUGUUAAAGUUUCUCCAGUAUUCCCGAGAUCCGUCCUGCUUACCUGUCCGUGCUGAAGUUACACUGUGUGCGUUCGUGCAUUGGUUUACACGCAGGGUGCUUUUGCGCAUGCUCCUAAGUCUAUGGGGGGUCCAGGGGGGGCUGCGCCCCCCCGGUUAGGUUAGGUUAAAAGCAUAGGUUAGAUUAAGUUAGGUUAAAAGCAUAGGUUAUGUUAGUAACCUUAGGGAGGGUCCAGGGGGGGGCACAGCCCCCCCUGGACCCUCUAACAGGUUAACUAACCUGGACCCCUAACAGGUUAACUAACCUGUUAGGUUAGGUAUAUAAUUAUUCUGGCGUAUUGGUUAAAACAAAUUUUACCCCAAUUUUUGUUUAUUCUAGGGAAAUUUCCCUAGAUUUUCAAAGUCCAUUUAUCGGUCUUUUAUGUCCCCCCCCAAAAAAAAAACCCGACUCCCCACGUGAUCCCCAAGCUUGUUGGGAAAGAGGGGAAAAGAUUAAUAAGAUGUGUGUGGAGGUGUAUUUCUUAAGAAUUAUCCCCCCAAAUUUUUUUUAUUCUAAGGAAAUUUCCCUAGAUUUUCAAAGUCCAUUUAUCGGUCUUUUAUGUCCUCCCCCCCAAAAAAAAACCCGAUUCCCCACGUGCCCCCAAGCUUGUUGGGGGAGAGGGGAAAAGAUUAAUAAGAUAUGUGUGGAGGUGUAUUUCUUAAGAAUUACCGACAAGAUCCAUAACAGGCAGUGAUCAUCUUCUUGUACUCAAUCUUCCUCAAUCCACACUUAGAUCAUGCUGGUUUUUUCUCCUCAGGGAUCUGGGAAAAAUAUAAAACCAUAACCAACAUCCCUAUAUAUGUCAUGGGACAAAUAGUAAAAACAAUAAGUUAAAAUAGAAGAUAAUGCCAUUUGGAUCACCUGAAGAUCCGCCACCCCAGCCGCACUCGGGGUGGCAGAUCUUCAGGUGGGACAAUCUGGGGUGGCGGAUCUUCAGGUGAUCCCAUACUUUUAAUGAAGUAAACUUUUUUCUGCAUUUUUUAUAUCCACUCAGUUUUUUAAUGCGUUCAUGUUGUUAGGUUAGGUUAGGUUAGGCUAACCUAACCUAACCUAACCUAACCAAGUGAGAGAGUCUGGGGUGGCGGAUCUUCAGGUGAGACAAUCUGGGGUGGCAGAUCUUCAGGUGAUCCCUGUGGGGUGGCGGAUCUUCAGGUGAUCCUGCCAUUUGAAUGGCAAUCAUGAAAAAAAUUAUUUAGAAUAGCCUAAAGAAAUUAUCAUGAAUAUAAAUACUUGUUUUUCUCCUUGGAUUUCUAAGUAAAAUUUUGCAUAUUUUUGAGCUAAGUAAGAAUUUAGAACAAAAAUUUUGUGGAAUUGUAUGUAAGAAAUUAACUAAAUUAUAUGUUGAUAUAUUGAGAUGAGGAAAGCGGGCAUGGAUGAAUACUAUCCUCCCAACCCACACACAUACACACACAACGAUGGAGAAACUGUAAAACACCAUGUUCUCAGCUUUUGGUAUGCCAGUCAGAUAAAAAAAAAAAAAUCCAUAUCACAAGAUGUUGCAGAAUAAUUGGAAAUAUGUAAGAACUGAUAACUAUGUAAUUAUAAAGAAAUUCUGAGAUUAAUGUUUGAGGUCAAAAUUUGCUAAUAGUGUUAAGACCUGGCAAUAUGUGGGACAGUUUGUUAAAAAUGUUCAAGAACAAUUUGAAAGUAGAGAAGGGUGAUAAACUUUUAAGGAUACUGAGAAGAAAUUACUUUCAUUUAUGCAGAAGGAUUUUGUUUUUAUGGGGUGCAGCCCAUAAUACUUGGCACAAAUUUGCAGCCAGAAAUGCCAACCAGAGGGCUUGUCAACAGACUGCUUGGAAACACACAAGACUUACAGGCAGGAAAGGGCUUGAUACUCCCUACUGCUUACAGGCCCAUUGAUCUCCUGUCCUGGCAAAGUAAUGAGAGGAUAGUCUAAAAUCAACUCACCUGGUGGCUGGAAAACAACAACCUCCUCCCAGCCUAUCAGUUCAAUUUUCACCCUCAAAGAAGCACAGAAAACAUUCUCUCAAUCUUAAAAUAUUCCAUCAAGAAGACCUACCAGAUUCAGACUGUACUUCUUUCUGUCUUUAUCAUCUUGCAGGCAGCCUUUGACACAGCGUCGCCCGGAUGAAUAAUCUCAAAACUAUCUAUACUUGGUAUUCCAAGUGAUAAUGGAGCACACUUAAAAUGAUUCCAAAGCUUCCUGACAGAUCAUACCAGAAUGCAGCACAGAGAGACACUUGUGGUAUGAGUGCAAAGAAAAGAUGAAGUAAAGAGGAACAUGGUACACUAGCUAUGAAGUGCCCAAAAAAGAACAAAUUAUUUUGAAGGAAAAAAGAAGGGAGGAGACAGAGACAGAACAUGAAUUCUGCAGACAUAGUAAGAGGACAGGGUAACAUGCAGUGAUGUGACCGGGUGGUGUAGAGCGUGUGACGUGUGUAGUGCAAAGAAGGGCCCCACCAGGAAAAACUGUGCCCUGUUACAGGUGUACAGCGUGGGGGUGCCCAUGGAGCAGGUAGCUGUGGACAUUGCCGGCCCGCUGCCUCUCACGCCAUGGGGUAACCGGUACAUCUGUGUGGUGAUGGAUUAUUUCACUAAGUGGCCCGAGGCGUAUGCGCUCCCUAACCACAAGGCCGAGACAGUGUUCUAGAGUGUUCUAGUGAAUGAGUUCUUUACCCGUUUUGGCGUACCCACGGAAUUGCACUCUGAUCAAGGCCGUGACUUUGGGUCCCAAGUGUUCCGUGAAUGUUGCGAGCUGUUAGGAUUGUGCAAGACCCGUACGACGCCCCUACACCCACAGUCUGGUGGGAUGGUGGAGAGAUUUAAUCAGAUACUUGCGCAAUAGCUGACCAAGUAUUGCAAGGAAGACCAAGGAUAUUGGGACGUCAAACUGCCCACUAUGCUGAUGGUGUACAGGUCCGCUGUGCAUGAGGCGAUGGACUUCACACCAGCCUGUCUCAUGUUUGGCCGUGAGCUCAGGCUGCCAGUGGACCUGGCCACAAAGGCUUCCUUAUGUGAGCUUGCCCACCGUCACCUCUGGGCAUGCAGCAGCACUGCAGGAACACCUGGUGGAGGUGCAUCUAUGGGCUCGAGGCAAGCUCAAGGUGGUGGGCCAGGCUAUGACCGCUGCAUGAGGAACAUGAGGUAUGCUGUGGGAGACCAAGUGUGGCUGUAUAACCCCCGCUGGAAGUGAGGGCUCUCACCAAAGCUCCAGAGCCCCUGGGAGGGGCCAUACAUGGUGGAAGCAGUCCUCUUUGAUGUCACAUAUCGGAUUUGCCGGGGACGGAAGUGACCGUCUGUUGUCCACGUGGACCGGCUGUGGCGUUACCACGGUCCAGCCCGCUACUCCUGGGGCCAUGGCGGAGAAGACGAGGACAUAAGCCCCAGCAGCAGUGACGAGGACGUGGCAGGGGCUGCCCGAGACAGGAAUGAGCGUGGAGCAGGCAGCGCAGCGAGUGACAGUGGUGACCUUGACUCUGAACUUGGGGCUAGAGACACCCUCCUGGGUGGCGCUGCUGACUCACCGCAGCUGACGCCUCCACCACCACAGCAACCUUGGCGGUAGAGGCAUAGACCAGGGUGGAUGAGAGACUUUUGUGAUGUUCCUGAGGAUUAAUUUUCUUUGUGUAUUUCAUUUAUUUAUUUCCACUUAUUUUCUUGUGUGUAUGUGUGUGUCAGGGAAGCCGGAUCGUCUGCCUUGUAUGGGGGAGGGAUAGUGUUACACCAGGGGUAUGGGUGCGGGUGGCAGCACUGUUGGAGGUGGCAGCACUGGGAGAGGCGGGAAGGCAGGGAGAGCGGAGAUGGGUGGCCCGAGAGGAAGCCAGCAUGUGCCUGCCUGUUUUGGAAGUGUUUCCCUGCCUGUUGAGUGCCCUGUUGAGUGUCUGUCAUGCCCUGGGAGACUUGUAGUGCCCCUGUGAACUUGUAAAGCAGUGUACUUGCGGAAGAUUUGUCAAUAAACCUAAGAAAUAGU